rnacentral:rRNA from 1 species
UUGGAGUCCGAACUCUCACUUUCUAACCCUGUGCAUCUGUUAAUUGGAAUAGUAGCUCUUCGGAGUGAACCACCAUUCACUUAUAAAACACAAAGUCUAUGAAUGUAUACAAAUUUAUAACAAAACAAAACUUUCAACAACGGAUCUCUUGGCUCUCGCAUCGAUGAAGAACGCAGCGAAAUGCGAUACGUAAUGUGAAUUGCAGAAUUCAGUGAAUCAUCGAAUCUUUGAACGCACCUUGCGCUCCUUGGUAUUCCGAGGAGCAUGCCUGUUUGAGUGUCAUGAAAUCUUCAACCCACCUCUUUCUUAGUGAAUCUGGUGGUGCUUGGUUUCUGAGCGCUGCUCUGCUUCGGCUUAGCUCGUUCGUAAUGCAUUAGCAUCCGCAACCGAACUUCGGAUUGACUUGGCGUAAUAGACUAUUCGCUGAGGAUUCUAGUUUACUAGAGCCGAGUUGGGUUAAAGGAAGCUCCUAAUCCUAAAGUCUAUUUUUUGAUUAGAUCUCAAAUCAGGUAGGACUACCCGCUGAACUUAA